GUGGGGUGUAAACUUGGUGGAUUUAAAGUUUUUUUGAGGAGCAUUAUUUUGCGUUGUAUCUUUACACAAUAAGAUAGUAUGCAUCUUUGGAAAGUUGUGUUGUAGUACUAGAGGGAAUUAUUUGUUUGUGCUAUAAUGAGAGCAAGGAUUGCUUUCAGUCCGUGGAAUGGGAAACUAUUACUUGGAGUUCCUUGGGUCUUUGCUAGAGUGUUACUUGAAGCUGGUUCUUUAAUUCCCGAAACAAGUUGAUUAUUCCUAAUAUGAAAGGUUGAGAUUUAGUUGAGAUAAUUUAUGGAGCCAAUUUGGGAGCAUCAAUAAUGUCCUUGUUCAAGGUAAUAUGUGCCACAAUCAAAUGGAAUGCUAAAACUAGGGGACAUCAUUAUUCAUUUGUUGCAGUUACUAUUCUCUACAUUGUUUUUUGUGAGUGUUGAAGCUGCAGUCUAUACUUGUAUUGCUGUAAGAUAUGUUGUUUGAAUUACCCACACAUUGGUUGCCCGGAUCACUAUAACCCUGUGGUCUUUUCUUAAUUUUCUUAUAUACUUGACCAAUUUAAUAAGGGCAGGAUAGAUGUUGAUUGAUGGAGUGGUAGUUUAGAGGAUGGACUUGUGCACCAAUUCUUGUUAUAUUCUAUUUAUUUUCUAAUGGAAGUUUAGUAUAUCUGAAGAAGAUCCUAUAUCAGUUUGUACUGCAAUUAUAUUCUGAAGAAGAGUUUUGUUUCUUAUACAUGGUAGGCAAUUAUAUUUUGAACAAUACCUACCCACCAAUUUAUGCUAGUCUUUUAAUUAGUGGUAUUUCUGUAAUUUUUGAUUAUCUACAAAGAACUUGGUUUCAGAACUAUUGUUUUUCUGUUUUGAAACCGUUUCUGAAACAUGUUCACCAAACACCAUUUUUUGGUUUAAAAACGGAAUUUUGACACAGAAAAUCGAAAUUAUGUUUUUGACACGAAACGUCGUUUCUAAAGCAAAAUGACUAGCAAGCACAGCCGUAUAUUAGGAUCCCAUCCAAGUUUCUAACCCUAACCAUGCCCCUUCUUUAGCUCCUCUUCUUUUCUUCUCCGAAACACCCAGCGGACGCUUUUCUUGGCUGAACUCAUAAAUCUUAAAAAUUCACCUUCUCCACCCUUCUUUGUCGUCUUCUUCUCCCUAUCUUCCCUUGCCAGUUGCCAUGGCCGAACCAUCUCUUUUCUUCUUUUUCCCAUCUUCUCCAUCCUCUCUACUCCUUAAUUGAUUUCCUCAAAUGGGUGCAUACCCAUUGUUUGAUUUUUUGCCUGAAAGAAAUUCCGGGUUCUACAACCAGUCUUUGGUUAGCCAUUCCACUAAGCAUGGGCAUGACCAAGAAGCAGGUUAUUCUGUCAGAAGAGAGCUCGCUAGACUCGGUCAUGUCCAUGCGUCAUUGAGGUUGUUUUGCUGCUCGGAUUGAAAUCCCCAAAAUUCACCCUAUCCAGUGUUCUUUGUUCUUGUGCAAAAUGGUUAGAUUGGCUUUUGGGUUUGAAAGUUCAUGCCCGAAUAAUUCAAAUAGGAUUUGAAGAUUUUUUAUUUUUUAUUUUUUUAAAUAGUGCUCUUAUUGAUUUGUACGCCAAGUGUGGCCUAUUUAAUGUUUCUUAUGUAAUGUAGUUUUUUUUUUUGGGGGGGGUUUGGUUUUAUUUCAUUUUCGCUCUUGAUGACAUAUGGGACUGUCCCUACCCCUUUUGAUACCUUUGAAUUAUUUUUUUAUUUAUUUGAUUCAUAAUAAAAGAAAAUGUUUAAAGUUCUUUUGGAUAAGGGUAUUUUGAUAAUCUUAAAUUUGAGAGAGUUACAAAUAUAAAGGGGUUUCGGUCUUGUAAUAAUUCCUCAGUGGAGAAGGAUAGGUUUGGCCUUUUGGGAUACAUUAGGGGUAGAUUGGGAAAGGAAGAAUUAGGGCCACUCACAAACCCACGUGUAGAAGGAAAGGAGGAAAAGAAAAGAGAAUUUGAAAGGGAUAGCUUGAGAGAGAGGCCAAAAUAGAGUAUUAGGGUUUUGUUGUUUCUUUACGGAAGAGAAUCGCAAGAGAGAGGGAAUGAGAAAUAAAGUGAAGGGAAAUGGGGGGUGGGGUUAAGUUUUGAUUAUGAGUAAAAGGAGCUGGGGGUUUCUAGGAGGGAGGUCGAUCAGUUUCUCUAAUAGGUUCAGGAGAAGAGAGGUUCGGUUCAGAGGAUAGGUUGGUCUUCUUCUUAUUUUUUUAUUCUUCUAGUGUUAGGGUUUUUUUCUUAUCAUGAGGGGAGACGAGUUGAGAAAGAGAUUUUUAGGUGGGGGUUUUAGCUUUUUUUAGGAACAAAAAAUCUCUGGUUUUUGGUGGGGAAAAGAAGGUUCUCUCUUUCCCUCUCAUGUUCUUCAAUCCUGGGUUGGUUUCUUCCCAGUAUUUUUUGGGGAUUUCGUCUCUAGUGUAUCUGAUUCGCUGCCUAUUUUCCGCAACAUUGAGGCAAAACCAUUCCUGGUGUGAUACAACCUUGGAAUAGAUGGCUGGGAUUAGCCCUGAUUUCCCCUUUGAUCGAGUGACUAAGGUCUGCUCAAGGAUGAAUUCAACUGGGUUGGUUUGGAUGGAACCUGCUAUGAGUUUAGUUGAGAGAAAAUUCGUUUCACGGCUGCAACCACUCUCAUUCUCAGCGGGUUCAGUGGCGUCAACCAUGUGUAUACUUCCAACUUGGAGUCCCACAUAUAUUUUUUUCUAAAUUUCCCUAUGAUGUAUAGGAAAGUAGUUUCUUUGGAUACAGAUGUUGGGAUGUCUCAAGGAUAAUCGUUGAUGUCCCACUAAGAUGGCCCAACCUCAAGAGACAGAUUGUUUGAAUCUCAUCUGUAAUUCUUUAUUUAGAUUUUCUAUAUCUAAUCUGUCUUUA